CAUUGGCUCAACUCCCGACCAAUCGCAGCGCGGCGAGAACUUCGGCGGGAAGGUCGCGCGGGUGGUGCCGGUGGCCGCUGAGGAAUAUGCUCUUAACCUUUCCUGCUGCUUUGUGAUGCUUUAUACUGUGCCUGGCCCAUGCUAGAGCUGUGGCAGUGAGAAAGAGACUCCUCAGCAGGCAAGCCUAAGGUGUAAGCAGAAGUCGUGACUGGGAGCCUGCAAGUGGGAGGACGUCAGCUGCGGAAAGUGCUUUUCAGCUGGCUGAGCCGACCAGAGCACAGAAGUCAAAGGAAAGCCAUGGAGCCAGGACAAAGCUAAAUUAAAAAAUUCCAAGACGCUGAUAUCAGAGGACUUCCUCUUGUGACCAGGCAGCUCAUCAGCAGGAGUUAUCUUGCACGUUGCUUGCAUCUACCAUGGAAGGGAAGGCUUAAGAGGUGAACGCUGGUACCCAAGCCUAGGAAAAGCACCAAAGGUGAAGAGAGGAACAUACUACUUAGUGCAGACAUCUGACAGAUGGGACGUUUCACCCCCCUGGUGCCACACUUCCCUUCCUGCAGGGGGAGGACAACAACCUGUUGGGAUUCCCACAGGAAAGGGGCUGCGGAAGCGCCUUGUUAUCCUGAUGUAGAACAAUGCAGACCAUCUCUGAACUGCCCACGCUGGGCCUGGAGACGGCAGCUCCCUCUUCCUCCUGCCCUGUGCUGCUGAGGAGCAUUCCUCUGUCUGAUAAACAAGUUGUCUUGCUCUGUU